UGGCAACUGUGAUGACGCCUCUUGACUCUGUGAUGCACGUUGCUGCGAUAUGGAGACAACAGUCCCUCUAAACUGAUGUUGCCU
rnacentral:snoRNA from 1 species